rnacentral:rRNA from 1 species
GGUCAAGCGAACAAGUGCAUGUGGUGGAUGCCUUGGCGAUCACAGGCGAUGAAGGACGCGGUAGCCUGCGAAAAGCCCCGGGGAGCUGGCAAACGAGCUUUGAUCCGGGGAUGUCCGAAUGGGGAAACCCACUCCGUAUGGAGUAUCCGUAGCUGAAUACAUAGGCUAUGUGAAGCGAACGCGGCGAACUGAAACAUCUAAGUAGCCGCAGGAAAAGAAAUCAACCGAGAUUCCCAAAGUAGUGGCGAGCGAAAUGGGAAGAGCCUGUACGUGUUAUCUGUGUUGUUAGCUGAACGCUCUGGAAAGUGCGGCCAUAGCAGGUGAUAGCCCUGUAAGCGAAAGCAGCGUGGAAGGACUAGGCGUACGAUAAGUAGGGCGGGACACGUGAAAUCCUGUCUGAAGAUGGGGGGACCAUCCUCCAAGGCUAAAUACUCGUGAUCGACCGAUAGUGAACCAGUACCGUGAGGGAAAGGCGAAAAGAACCCCGGGAGGGGAGUGAAAUAGAUCCUGAAACCGCAUGCAUACAAACAGUCGGAGCCUCGUAAGGGGUGACGGCGUACCUUUUGUAUAAUGGGUCAGCGACUUACGUUCAGUAGCAAGCUUAACCGAUUAGGGCAGGCGUAGCGAAAGCGAGUCCGAAUAGGGCGUUCAGUUGCUGGGCGUAGACCCGAAACCAAGUGAUCUAUCCAUGGCCAGGUUGAAGGUGCGGUAACACGUACUGGAGGACCGAACCCACUAACGUUGAAAAGUUAGGGGAUGAGCUGUGGAUAGGGGUGAAAGGCUAAACAAACUUGGAAAUAGCUGGUUCUCUCCGAAAACUAUUUAGGUAGUGCCUCGUGUAUCACCUUCGGGGGUAGAGCACUGUCAUGGUUGAAGGGUCCAUUGCGGAUUACUUCGCCAUAGCAAACUCCGAAUACCGAAGAGUGCAAUCACGGGAGACAGACAUCGGGUGCUAACGUCCGGUGUCAAGAGGGAAACAACCCAGACCGCCAGCUAAGGUCCCCAAAUAUGGCUAAGUGGGAAACGAAGUGGGAAGGCUAAAACAGUCAGGAGGUUGGCUUAGAAGCAGCCACCCUUUAAAGAAAGCGUAAUAGCUCACUGAUCGAGUCGUCCUGCGCGGAAGAUGUAACGGGGCUAAGCCAUAUACCGAAGCUGCGGAUGCGUGCUUGCACGCAUGGUAGGAGAGCGUUCUGUAAGCCUGCGAAGGUGUCUCGGAAGGGAUGCUGGAGGUAUCAGAAGUGCGAAUGCUGACAUGAGUAGCGAUAAAGGGGGUGAAAGGCCCCCUCGCCGUAAGCCCAAGGUUUCCUACGCAACGUUCAUCGGCGUAGGGUGAGUCGGCCCCUAAGGCGAGGCAGAAAUGCGUAGCUGAUGGGAAGCAGGUCAAUAUUCCUGCACCAUUGUUAGAUGCGAUGGGGGGACGGAUCGCGGAAGGUUGUCCGGGUGUUGGACGUCCCGGUCGCUGCAUUGGAGAAGGCGCUUAGGCAAAUCCGGGCGCGUAAUUCAAGGGUGUGGCGCGAGCGGCUUUAUGCUGCGAAGCAAUCGGAAGUGGUUCCAAGAAAAGCCUCUAAGCUUCAGUCUAAUGAUGACCGUACCGCAAACCGACACAGGUGGGCGAGAUGAGUAUUCUAAGGCGCUUGAGAGAACUCGGGAGAAGGAACUCGGCAAAUUGGUACCGUAACUUCGGGAUAAGGUACGCCCUUGUAGCUUGACUGGCCUGCGCCAGAAGGGUGAAAGGGUUGCAAUAAACUGGUGGCUGCGACUGUUUAAUAAAAACACAGCACUCUGCAAACACGAAAGUGGACGUAUAGGGUGUGACGCCUGCCCGGUGCCGGAAGAUUAAAUGAUGGGGUGCAAGCUCUUGAUUGAAGUCCCGGUAAACGGCGGCCGUAACUAUAACGGUCCUAAGGUAGCGAAAUUCCUUGUCGGGUAAGUUCCGACCUGCACGAAUGGCGUAACGAUGGCCACACUGUCUCCUCCCGAGACUCAGCGAAGUUGAAGUGUUUGUGAUGAUGCAAUCUCCCCGCGGCUAGACGGAAAGACCCCAUGAACCUUUACUGUAGCUUUGCAUUGGACUUUGAACCGAUCUGUGUAGGAUAGGUGGGAGGCUAUGAAACCGGAACGCUAGUUUCGGUGGAGCCGUCCUUGAAAUACCACCCUGGUUUGUUUGAGGUUCUAACCUUGGCCCGUGAUCCGGGUCGGGGACAGUGCAUGGUAGGCAGUUUGACUGGGGCGGUCUCCUCCCAAAGUGUAACGGAGGAGUACGAAGGUACGCUAGGUACGGUCGGAAAUCGUGCUGAUAGUGCAAUGGCAUAAGCGUGCUUAACUGCGAGACCGACAAGUCGAGCAGGUGCGAAAGCAGGUCAUAGUGAUCCGGUGGUUCUGUAUGGAAGGGCCAUCGCUCAACGGAUAAAAGGUACUCUGGGGAUAACAGGCUGAUACCGCCCAAGAGUUCAUAUCGACGGCGGUGUUUGGCACCUCGAUGUCGGCUCAUCUCAUCCUGGGGCUGUAGCCGGUCCCAAGGGUAUGGCUGUUCGCCAUUUAAAGAGGUACGUGAGCUGGGUUUAAAACGUCGUGAGACAGUUUGGUCCCUAUCUGCCGUGGGCGUUGGAUAUUUGAAGGGGGCUGCUCCUAGUACGAGAGGACCGGAGUGGACGAACCUCUGGUGUACCGGUUGUCACGCCAGUGGCAUCGCCGGGUAGCUAUGUUCGGAAGAGAUAACCGCUGAAAGCAUCUAAGCGGGAAACUCGCCUUAAGAUGAGAUAUCCCCGGGGCUUCGAGCCCCUUGAAGGGUCGUUCAAGACCAGGACGUUGAUAGGUCGGGUGUGUACAUGCAGUAAUGCAUUUAGCUAACCGAUACUAAUUGCCCGUACGGCUUGAUCCU